UUAAGCGACUAAGCGUACACGGUGGAUGCCCUGGCAGUCAGAGGCGAUGAAGGACGUGCUAAUCUGCGAAAAGCGUCGGUAAGGUGAUAUGAACCGUUAUAACCGGCGAUGUCCGAAUGGGGAAACCCAGUGCAAUUCGUUGCACUAUCGUUAACUGAAUACAUAGGUUAACGAGGCGAACCGGGGGAACUGAAACAUCUAAGUACCCCGAGGAAAAGAAAUCAACCGAGAUUCCCCCAGUAGCGGCGAGCGAACGGGGAGCAGCCCAGAGUCUGAAUCAGCUUGUGUGUUAGUGGAACGGUCUGGAAAGUCCGACGGUACAGGGUGAUAGUCCCGUACACCAAAAUGCACAGGUUGUGAACUCGAAGAGUAGGGCGGGACACGUGGUAUCCUGUCUGAAUAUGGGGGGACCAUCCUCCAAGGCUAAAUACUCCUGACUGACCGAUAGUGAACCAGUACCGUGAGGGAAAGGCGAAAAGAACCCCGGCGAGGGGAGUGAAAAAGAACCUGAAACCGUGUACGUACAAGCAGUGGGAGCACCUUCGGGUGUGACUGCGUACCUUUUGUAUAAUGGGUCAGCGACUUAUAUUCUGUAGCAAGGUUAACCGUAUAGGGGAGCCGCAGGGAAACCGAGUCUUAACUGGGCGUUAAGUUGCAGGGUAUAGACCCGAAACCCGGUGAUCUAGCCAUGGGCAGGUUGAAGGUUGGGUAACACUAACUGGAGGACCGAACCGACUAAUGUUGAAAAAUUAGCGGAUGACUUGUGGCUGGGGGUGAAAGGCCAAUCAAACCGGGAGAUAGCUGGUUCUCCCCGAAAGCUAUUUAGGUAGCGCCUCGUGAACUCAUCUUCGGGGGUAGAGCACUGUUUCGGCUAGGGGGUCAUCCCGACUUACCAACCCGAUGCAAACUACGAAUACCGAAGAAUGUUAUCACGGGAGACACACGGCGGGUGCUAACGUCCGUCGUGAAGAGGGAAACAACCCAGACCGCCAGCUAAGGUCCCAAAGUCAUGGUUAAGUGGGAAACGAUGUGGGAAGGCACAGACAGCCAGGAUGUUGGCUUAGAAGCAGCCAUCAUUUAAAGAAAGCGUAAUAGCUCACUGGUCGAGUCGGCCUGCGCGGAAGAUGUAACGGGGCUAAACCAUGCACCGAAGCUGCGGCAGCGACACUAUGUGUUGUUGGGUAGGGGAGCGUUCUGUAAGCCUGCGAAGGUGGCCUGUGAGGGUUGCUGGAGGUAUCAGAAGUGCGAAUGCUGACAUAAGUAACGAUAAUGCGGGUGAAAAGCCCGCACGCCGGAAGACCAAGGGUUCCUGUCCAACGUUAAUCGGGGCAGGGUGAGUCGACCCCUAAGGCGAGGCCGAAAGGCGUAGUCGAUGGGAAACAGGUUAAUAUUCCUGUACUUGGUGUUACUGCGAAGGGGGGACGGAGAAGGCUAUGUUAGCCGGGCGACGGUUGUCCCGGUUUAAGCAUGUAGGCGGAGGUUCCAGGUAAAUCCGGUACCUUUUAACGCUGAGGUGUGAUGACGAGGCACUACGGUGCUGAAGUAACAAAUGCCCUGCUUCCAGGAAAAGCCUCUAAGCAUCAGGUAACAUUAAAUCGUACCCCAAACCGACACAGGUGGUCAGGUAGAGAAUACCAAGGCGCUUGAGAGAACUCGGGUGAAGGAACUAGGCAAAAUGGUGCCGUAACUUCGGGAGAAGGCACGCUGAUAUGUAGGUGAAGCCCCUGCGGGUGGAGCUGAAAUCAGUCGAAGAUACCAGCUGGCUGCAACUGUUUAUUAAAAACACAGCACUGUGCAAACACGAAAGUGGACGUAUACGGUGUGACGCCUGCCCGGUGCCGGAAGGUUAAUUGAUGGGGUUAUCCGUAAGGAGAAGCUCUUGAUCGAAGCCCCGGUAAACGGCGGCCGUAACUAUAACGGUCCUAAGGUAGCGAAAUUCCUUGUCGGGUAAGUUCCGACCUGCACGAAUGGCGUAAUGAUGGCCAGGCUGUCUCCACCCGAGACUCAGUGAAAUUGAACUCGCUGUGAAGAUGCAGUGUACCCGCGGCAAGACGGAAAGACCCCGUGAACCUUUACUAUAGCUUGACACUGAACAUUGAGCCUUGAUGUGUAGGAUAGGUGGGAGGCUUUGAAGCGUGGACGCCAGUCUGCGUGGAGCCAACCUUGAAAUACCACCCUUUAAUGUUUGAUGUUCUAACGUUGGCCCCUGACCGGGGUUGCGGACAGUGUCUGGUGGGUAGUUUGACUGGGGCGGUCUCCUCCCAAAGAGUAACGGAGGAGCACGAAGGUUAGCUAAUCCUGGUCGGACAUCAGGAGGUUAGUGCAAUGGCAUAAGCUAGCUUGACUGCGAGCGUGACGGCGCGAGCAGGUGCGAAAGCAGGUCAUAGUGAUCCGGUGGUUCUGAAUGGAAGGGCCAUCGCUCAACGGAUAAAAGGUACUCCGGGGAUAACAGGCUGAUACCGCCCAAGAGUUCAUAUCGACGGCGGUGUUUGGCACCUCGAUGUCGGCUCAUCACAUCCUGGGGCUGAAGUAGGUCCCAAGGGUAUGGCUGUUCGCCAUUUAAAGUGGUACGCGAGCUGGGUUUAGAACGUCGUGAGACAGUUCGGUCCCUAUCUGCCGUGGGCGCUGGAGAAUUGAGGGGGGCUGCUCCUAGUACGAGAGGACCGGAGUGGACGCAUCACUGGUGUUCGGGUUGUCAUGCCAAUGGCAUUGCCCGGUAGCUAAAUGCGGAAGAGAUAAGUGCUGAAAGCAUCUAAGCACGAAACUUGCCCCGAGAUGAGUUCUCCCUGAGACUUUAAGUCUCCUGAAGGAACGUUAAAGACGAUGACGUUGAUAGGUCGGGUGUGUAAGCGUAGCGAUACGUUGAGCUAACCGAUACUAAUGAACCGUGAGGCUUAACCUU
rnacentral:rRNA from 1 species